UCCAGACUCCUACGGGAGGCAGCAGUGGGGAAUAUUGCACAAUGGGGGAAACCCUGAUGCAGCAACGCCGCGUGAGUGAAGAAGUAUUUCGGUAUGUAAAGCUCUCUCAGCAGGGAAGAGAAUGACGGUACCUGACUAAGAAGCCCCGGCUAACUACGUGCCAGCAGCCGCGGUAAUACGUAGGGGGCGAGCGUUAUCCGGAUUUACUGGGUGUAAAGGGAGCGUAGACGGUUCUGCAAGUCUGAAGUGAAAGCCCGGGGCUCAACCCCGGGACUGCCUUGGAAACUGUAUGGCUGGAGUGCUGGAGAGGCAAGCGGAAUUCCUAGUGUAGCGGUGAAAUGCGUAGAUAUUAGGAAGAACACCAGUGGCGAAGGCGGCUUGCUGGACAGUAACUGACGUUGAGGCUCGAAAGCGUGGGGAGCAAACAGGAUUAGAUACCCGCGUA
rnacentral:rRNA from 1 species